UACGAAGGGAGCUAGCGUUGUUCGGAAUCACUGGGCGUAAAGCGCACGUAGGCGGAUGUGUCAGUCAGGGGUGAAAUCCCGGAGCUCAACUUCGGAACUGCCUCUGAUACAGCACGUCUUGAGUCCGAUAGAGGUGGGUGGAACUGCGAGUGUAGAGGUGAAAAUUCGUAGAUAUUCGCAAGAACACCAGUGGCGAAGGCGGCUCACUGGCCCGGUACUGACGCUGAGGUGCGAAAGCGUGGGGAGCAAACAGGG
rnacentral:rRNA from 1 species